GACUCUGUAGCUCAGUUGGUUAGAGUGCUGCACCGGGAUUGCAGGGCACCAGGCUCAAUUCCUGCCAGAGGGG